rnacentral:rRNA from 1 species
GUCCACGCUGUAAACGAUGGACACUAGGUGUCCGGGGUAUUGACCCCCUGGGUGCCGCAGCUAACGCAUUAAGUGCCCCGCCUGGGGAGUACGGUCGCAAGAUUAAAACUCAAAGGAAUUGACGGGGGCCCGCACAAGCGGUGGAGCAUGUGGUUCAAUUCGACGCAACGCGAAGAACCUUACCUGGGCUAGACAACAGCGGACCGUCCUAGAAAUAGGAUCUUCCCUUCGGGGACCGCUGGUUCAGGUGCUGCAUGGCUGUCGU